rnacentral:rRNA from 1 species
CCACGGGGGGCAGCAGUGAGGAAUAUUGGUCAAUGGGCUUACGCCUGAACCAGCCAAGUCGCGUGAGGGAAGACUGCCCUAUGGGUUGUAAACCUCUUUUGUCAGGGAGCAACGCCGGCUACGUGUAGCCGGACUGAGAGUACCUGAAGAAAAAGCAUCGGCUAACUCCGUGCCAGCAGCCGCGGUAAUACGGAGGAUGCGAGCGUUAUCCGGAUUUAUUGGGUUUAAAGGGAGCGUAGGCCGGCUUUUAAGUCAGCUGUGAAAGUCCGCGGCUCAACCGUGGAAUUGCAGUUGAAACUGGAGGC